rnacentral:lncRNA from 1 species
CUUAGCCGAGAGAGAAAAAGAUGCUAAAGAGAGAAAGUGUGACUACGAACCGAAGAAACCCGAUAGCUUUCCCUCCUCUGACGUGAAGCCAUCAUGCCAUCCUACUUAAGUUGCAUGGUAAGCUUCCCACUUCUUUUUCUUAAUGUCCCUUCUUCACUUAAGGUGCCAAGAACAAUUUCUGAAAAUUUCAGAACAAUUUUUGAAAAUCCAUGUGUUACUGUAACAAGCUUUCCCUCUCCUUCAAACUGUAAGAAAAACUUCAUUUUCUUUGGAACCCGAGAGUUUGGUAGCAAAAGGUAGGGGUUUGGUAUUUAUUCUUACCCUUCUAAUGCUCUUUUCACACUUGCAAAACUAAUUAAAACUUGAGAUGCAUGCGUGUUGGUUCGGGUAUUGCAGUGUGCAUGUCUGCUUGACAAAUGUUUGAAGAUACUAGUUUUCUUAUGUUUAAAUGAUUUCAUUUUUCUAAUUUAUUUGUGUGCAAUGGGAAUUAUGAAUGCUUGAUGGGGACAUGGUCAGGUUUGGAAUGAUUUUAUGGAGUGUUGAAUGAUUUCUUUACAGUAGGCACUAUGGUGCUACGAUAAAAUUAUUUUUGUGCAGUAGAGGUCGGGUGUUGCGUGGCCCGACUUGGCACCCAUACGUGCUGGGCCAACGAUGCAGGUUGCGCUUUUAGCCUCACCCAUGUGGUGAAAGCCGAGAGGAUUGGCCAGAUUGGGCCUCGGCCUAAGAGGGAACCCAAGAGCCUAACUGGGUUUAAGGGCCCCUGUUUUGGGCUCAGGACUAAACGGGAGAACCAUUACUAAUCCAUGAUUCGGGUUUGGUUAUUGGAUCCUUACCGGGUUUGAGUCAAGUAAGAGUUUGAGCCCUUAUGGGCUGGGUUGAGGCGAGGCUCUCCUCGGGCCAAGUGGGUGAACCGAUUGUCAGGCCCUCACAAGUUGAAUGAGUGUGAGGUCCUCAUUGGACCGUGGGUGAGGUGAGUUGUUGGGCCUUCUACGGGCCUGACUAGUGUAUGAUGCUAGUAGGCCUUUAGGCCGAGAGGUAAUAAGUCCUUACGGACCGGGUCAUAAGGCCUUUGUAGGCCAAGGUUAUAAACUUUGGUGAAUCGGGCUAGGGUGAGGCUGUAUUGGGGCUAGAGGUUCAGUGGACCCCAAAUCACUCUAGGUUAGGUCUAGUGGACCCUAUCGAGUUUGGGUUAGGUAGGUUGGGCUCUUAUUAGGCCGAGUUGGUCAAUGGACCCCUUCUGGAUCUGAGUUUGGUUAGUGAGCCCUUAUUGGGUCCCGGUUGAAUUGCUUGGGCCUUAGUAGGCCCAAACGAAUCUUAUUAGGCCGAGUUGGUCAAUGGACCCCUACUGGAUCCGAGUUUGGUUAGUGAGCCCUUAUUGGGUCCCAGUCCAAUUGCUUGGGCCUUAGUAGGCCCAAACAAUUGGGAUUCAGGAUAAUUUAGAAGCCGGGUAAACAAUGGAUUAUAAGAACCAUUUGAUGGACCUAAUGGACUAAAACGAAUGUUAGGGACUGUGAAUUUAAUGGUGAUUCCAUAAUUAUUAAGAAAAACUGAAAAGAUUGAAAUCCGUUUAGCGUUUAUUAUUGAGGAGUGACUGAAUAUGAUUGCUACCAACUGUUGGAAAACCGCUCCCUAUGAAUGGUAUUAGCAUUCUCUCUGACAAGAGUAGAUCGUGAUUGAUUAUAGGGGUCACACUAGCAAAGUAUUAUCGUGGUCAUAGUUACUAAUUUUAUUAUCGUAAAUAGAACUUAUCAGUUUCUCAUUCACAGUGAUAGUCGGGGAUCCCACCUGCUCUCUGUUGAUAUAAGUCAAAAUAACUUCGCGCGAAUAUCUAUAAAACACUGUAACUAAACCAAAUAGUUUGAAUGUUUAGCUAGUACUGUUGAUUGAUUAUUUAUGUUUUGGACUGCUGUUGAGUUGGUUAUAUUUCUUACUGUUCCGUCUCGUCAUGCUAUGUUUUGGAUGGUUCUAUUAGUUCCAAAUAUGUUUUUCACUAUUUUGUUUUAUUACUUAUGUUUAAAAAUUGGUAUUUCAAAAUGUAUUUCAAUUAAUUAAAAGUACGAUGUUUUCAAUGAUAUUUUAAAUGAAUAUAAUCUCCAAUGGUCUUUGGUGGUAAGCUCUACUAAUUGUGAAGGUACGACACCUUUCUUGAAAUAAACAACUUUUAAAACUUUAGUAACGUAGUUUAAAUACUAUUUCCCUUAGUGAGUUUUAUGGAACUCAACCCAAUCUAUUUUCUCCCCAAUAAUGAGGAAAGUAAAGAAUAGCUUCGCGAGCUACCCUUUGACUUGUUUAGAUUUAUUCGCGAACUAGUAAUGGAUAUUUGCUCUCUGUUUGUUUGGUGGUAAAUAGUAGUCAAUUAAUGUAUGGUAUUCCACGGGCGUGAUAAAAUCUUGUUUGUUUUUAUUUCCAACCUGAUGGGAUGAUAGCAGACAGUAUCCAAAUAGCAAAUUUAGAAUGAAUUUUAAAAACCACCGAAUUGGUGGUAUGUGACGAGUAGAUAAUUUUUUUUCCAGUAUACCAUCAUAAAAUAUGCUUAAUAAAUUAACUCAUGGUAAAUGAUUAUUUCAAACACAUUUUAAUUUUUUAUUUCUUGAAAUAAUUUUAAAUUUAAUAUAAUAAUAUAUAAUUACAACCAUUUGUUUCUAAUGUAUAACUAAUUUUUUUUAUUAAAAUUAAAUUAAUAGGAUAAUAUAAAUAAUAAUUAUUUAUUUUAUCAAAUAUAAAAAUUUAAUUUGAUUAUGUGAGAUAAUUAUUUAUUUAAAUAUAAAUUUAAUUAUAUUUUUAUGUAAUUUAUUUUUUUUCAUUACAUACUUCUUAUCUUUCAUUUACUAUUACAUAAUAGAAUAAAGAUAAAUUAGUAAUUUGACUGAAAAUACAACUAUACUAUCUUAUCAUCAAAACAAAAUAGUUGUUAUUAACAUACAUUAAUACACAAUUAUCCAAAUAUAAAAAAAAUUUGUCAUUCAUAUCCUAUUUCAUUACAUUCAAUCAGUAUUAUUGUCAUAUAUUAAUUACUCAUCACUAAAAUUCAUUCAAACAUGAUGUUGAGUGUAUAUGGAUAAUUGUACUUUGAUGAACCCUAUAUUUUUGUCAUGAAAGAAGUGGGUAUAACAAUGUCUGUAUAUAUUUUGUUAGCUAACUUCUUGACCUCAGAUGAACACUAUACAAUGUCUGUAUAUAUUUUGUCAUCCAAACAGGAUGUUGAGUGUAUGUGGAUGAUUGUACUUUAAUGAACCCUAUAUUUUUGUAAUGAAAGAAGUGGGUAGAACAAUGUCUGUACAUAUUUUGUGGCCAACUUCUUGACCUCAGAUGUGUAUGAACAUUAUAUUUUGGAAGAGAUGAAUAUUACUUCUGUUGUAUAAUUCUCUUAUGCACUCAUAUUUCUUAUAUAAUUGGGCACUAUUACCCCACUAAUACUAGGAUGUCACAAGUGAUAUCAAAGCAAGAUUCUCAUACAUCUCUUACACUGAGACCUAGAAUUUAAGUUUAGAAAUCUAAAAAUUUCUUAGAGCAAUAAUAUCCUUUGGACCUUAGUGAUCGACAACUGUACUAAACCCUUAUCCCCUUUUUAUUGGCAAAUAUGACUUGAGAGAGACUGUCAUGCACAUGAUGCCCCAAUCCAUGCAGAGUUUACUGAAUUAAUUCGGGCAAUUUAAGGGUUGACCACCACUAUGGGCCACAACUUUGCCCAUACCAUCAAACACCCUCAUCUUGUAAAUGACCCCUCAUAAUGAUUGCGCUAUUUCGUACAGUAUCUCAAAAUUUCGAAAGUUGAACUCUCCUCAUUUUAAUGGUGGACCGAACCCCAUGGUCACAAAAGUAUAGAUUGAUAAGGCCUGAAAACAACAUUAUCAUUACCCACUUUUGGGUUAUUGAACUUGAUGGUACAUCAUUUAAUUCAAUCUAUUUUCUAUGUUUUGUUGUAGUGUGGGAUACAAGGGAAAAAAAAGAGAAAAAUAGCAUGAAGAGAGGAAGAAUUUGUGAAGUGGAUCAUGAGCAUAAAAUCAAGCCUUGGGCAAGGCCAAGAACUGCAUGCAGCAGUCAAUUCAAACACAAAAGGUUCGCACUUGAAUUUUAAAAUAGAUUCCGUUCAGGCCUAGAUUUUUGGACAAUCAAGGAGAUUAAUUUGAAAAGUUAAGGAUGUGCCAAAAAUCAAGGGAAGAUUGCAUAUUGGAACAGAAAGAAGAAAACCCUAACUUUUCUUCUAUAAAAGAAGGGGCAGCCGUCAAAGCAAGAACUUCUUUCUUCUUGAUGUCGCAUGCAACAGCUUCCACUAGUUUUGCAACUUUUCUUCCUCAUAUUUAUUCUUCUCUUUACUCUCCGAGAACUCUUUUAUAUUGAAAAAGCCCACCAUGAGUUGCUAACUCACUCUCUUUUCCUAGUUAAUAGAUCCAAAAAACUUGAGCAAUGUAUUUGUGAGGUCUAAUCAAAUUAAUUUGGGUUUCAUUUUAGAAUUGGUAUUUAUUUACUUCUUGCACCUAUAUAUAUUUGUUGUUUUGAAUCCAUUUGAACAGGGUCCAUCAUACGAGAAGAGAAACCACAAGCAGCUAACCGAAUUCCUUACAUCUAUAAUUGUUUGAGUGGUUUUGACACCAAAUAAUAAUUAGUGCUGCACUGAGGAGGUAAGUAAUCUAGCUGAUCGGUUCACGUAGAUGAAUCCGGGAGCUUGAAUUAAGUCCUUGUAGCUCUUAAGGUCGUUGAGAAGUUAAAUCAUGUGGAUGUUCUCCUUUAAACUCAAAUCUAGUUUGAUCCACCUGCUCCCUAAGUUUCGGGGCAUAGAGAAUGAAAACCUGUAUAAGCACCUCAAGGAAUUCCACGUGGUCUACUCCAGCAUGGAACCCCAAGGUAUAUAUGAAUAGCAAAUCAAGUUAUAAGCAUUCCCAUUUUCCCUAGAUGAUGCGACCAAGGAGUGGCUGUUUUAUCUAUCACCCAGAUCAAUCAUGACUUUGGGCGGAGAUGGUGAAGGUCAUCUCGAGCAGUCAGAAUAAGGAGAGAGAUAUGUGGGAUCCGUCAGAGCGAUUCCGAGAGCUUACAUGAUUACUGAGAGAGGUUCAAACGAUUAUGCGUGAGUUGUUCGCAACAUGAUAUAUCAUAUUAGUCUUUGAUACAUUACUUCUAUGAAGGGCUACUAUUCUUGGAAAGAAGGAUGUUGGAUGCUGCCAGUGAAGGUGCCAUCGUCAACAAAACACCACGCCAAGCAAGAGAGCUAAUAUCGAUCAUGGCGGCCACUUUUCAACAAUUCAGCUCCAUUCGCGACACUCCUCGGAGGGUGAAUGAGGUAAGUAUAUCCUCCUUUGAGUCUUAAAUUUCUGAAUUAACUCAUCUGGUAAAAAGUAAGGCCACAGAAAACACUCAGCGAACAAGAAUGUAUGGAAUUUGUGCACAUUUCGGACAUCCCGCAAACAUGUGCCCUACAGUUCAGGAAGAUGAUCAGUAGCAAUUCAAUGUUGGGGGUGGAUUUCAAAGUCAACCACAAAGAAGAUAUUACCCUUUUUCUAACACAUAUAUAUCUGGAUGGAGAGACCACCCAAACUUUAGUUAUAGAGUUUGACAGCAGAAUUACCAAUAAUAUCCGAAUAAGCCACCAUUGCCACCGUAGGCGACACCUCCAAAAUAAUGUAUGUCUCUUGAAGAAAUUGUUAAAUUACUUGUUACUAACACCCAAUAAUUUCAACAGAAGACAAGGGCAAUCAUUCAAAAUUUGGAGACCCAAGUUAGCCAAUUGACAACCUCCAUGAAUAGGUUAGAAUUUCAGGGCAAAUUGCCCUCCCAGACAGAAGUGAAUCUAAGGCCAAAUGUUAGCUCAAUCACCUUGCAAAGUGGAAAGAACUGUCAGGGGUCCCUCCCAAGACAAACCUUUGCUGAGGCUUAUAAAAGGAAGCAUAACCAAAAGCCUUGGGCAAGGCCACUGAGUCAGCAGUAGAUGAUAGUGUUUCCCCAGCUGAAAUAGACUCUAGUCAUUGCAAUUUGAUUCCAAUCCUUCCACCAUUCCCAGAGAGAUUUACCAAAAAACAAAGAAAGAAAAAGAGGAAAUUACCACCCAAACAAGGAAAUCUUGGAGACAUUCCGCAAGGUUGAAUUCAAUCUUUCCCUACUUGACGCAAUCAAACAAAUACCCAAAUAUGCCCAAUUCUUGAAGGAAUUGUGCACUAACAAGAGGAAAUUAUGCAACAAUGAAAGAGCAAGUGUGGGGGAGAACGUUUCUGACUAUCAUACAAAGAAAAUUACCACCCAAAUGCAAAGACCAAGGUAUGUUCGCCAUCUCAUGUAAAAUAACUACCUUGGGUAAAAUGCCCAUGCCCAUGUCCAUUUACUCGAAGCUGAGUGCCAGGCAACUAAAAGAAACUGGAGUAAUCAUCCAACUGGCGGGUAGAUUUGUUGUCUACCCUGAAGGAGUCUUGGAAGAUGUGCUAGUUCAAGUGGACAAUCUUAUCUUUUUAGUUGACUUCUAUGUAUUGAGCAUGAAAGAUGAUAAAUCCCCGAAUUCUUCUGACCUCUUACUAGGUCGGCCUUUUCUCAGCACAGCUAAAACAAAAAUAGACAUUCAAAAUGGAACCCUCACUAUGGAAUUCGAUAGCGAAAUAGUAAGGUUUAAUAUGUAUGAUGCAAUUAAAUAUCCAUUUGACUUAUCUUAUGCAUGCAACAUCGAUGCCCUGGAGGUUCUGAACCAACAACACUUCAAUCUAAGCUAUGGGGAUAAGAUGAACAUUGCACUUUGCAACAACUUAAAUGCUGACAGCUUAAGAGUGCUAGAAAAAGACAAUGUAGCUAGUCAAGAAUUGUAAAAAGCUGUGUUUGAGUUGGAAUCCUUUAAUCAGGUAAAAGGUAUAACUCCUUAAUUAGAUCUCCCCACUACUCAUACAAAGAUUCCCCCUUCUGUUUUGUAGGCUUCCAAGUUAGAGUUAAAGCCGCUACCCGAGCACCUCAAAAUAUAUCUUCUUAGGUGAAGGAGAGACUCUUCUAGUGAUAACCUCCAACAAACUUAACCAAGUGGAAGAAGAAAAAUUAGUAAGAGUGCUUCGUUAACACAAGGAGGCAAUCGGCCGGAUCAUUGCAGAUUUUAAGAUAAUUUGCCUUCCACCUAUAUGCAUAAGAUCCUACUAGAAGAGGACAGUAAACCCAGUAGACAUGCACAAAGGUGCCUGAACCCACCAAUGAUGGAAGUGAUGAAGAAAGAAGUUUUAAAGCUGCUAGAUACUGGGGUCAUCUACCCAAUCUUGGAUAACAAAUGGGUGAGUCUGGAUCAAAUUAUACCAAAAACGAUAGGUCACAAUGAUAGAAAACCAAGAAUGAGAGAAAAUCUCAGACAACGUAUAGAAUGGGUGGAGGUUGUGCAUUGGUUACCGCAAGUUAAAUGCCUCCACGAUGAAGACCAUUUCCUCUUACCUUUCAUUGAUCAAAUGCUGAAAAGGUUGGCUGGUAGAACUGUUGUUUGGACGGAUAUUAUGGAUUUUACCAAAUUCUAAUUGCUCUCAAAGACAAAGAAAAAACCACGUUCACAUGCCCCUUUAGGACCUUUGGCUACCGAUGGAUGUUGUUCGACCUUUGUAAUGCGUCUGUCACAUUCUAGAGAUACAUGAUCAGCAUCUUUUUUGAUUUCAUAAAAAGAAGCAUCGAGGUGUUCAUGGAUGACUUUAUAGUUUAUGGGGAUUCCUUUGAUGAAUGCCUUGACAACCUCACUAAGGUGCUGAAAAGAUGCCUUGAAUCCAACCUGGUGCUCAACUAUGAAAAAUGUCAAUUCAUAGUGGACCAAGGACUAAUUAUGGGUCAUGUAGUGUCUUCAAAAGGCAUAAAAGUUGAUAAAGCAAAGGUCGACAUCAUCAAGUCAUUGCCUUACCCAAGAAGCAUGCGGGAGAUACGCUCAUUUUUGGGACAUGCUGGUUGGAGAUUCAUCAAGGACUUCUUGAAAAUAACACAAUCUUUGUGUCGACUACUGCAAAAAGAGGUGGACUUCACCUUUGAUAAGCAUUGUAAAAAAGUAUUUAAAAUACUUAAAGAGAAGUUAGUGAUAGCACCCAUCAUGUAGCUACCAAAUUGGAACCUACCAUUUGAAAUAAUGUGUGAUGCAAGCAAUAAGGCAGUAGACAUGAUGCUCGGGCAGAGAACGAAAAAAGACUCACAUGUAAUGUACUACGCCUCUCGCACCCUCGACAGUGCUCAAACGAACUAUUCUACCACAGAGAAAGAAUUGUUUGUUGUUGUGUUUGCCCUGAAAAAAUUUUGGUCAUACUUGCUGAGAACAAAAGUGAUAGUGUUCUCCAACCAUACAACAUUAAAAUACUUAUUGAAGAAGAAAGAAGCCAAGCCGAGGCUGAUACGGUGGAUACUUCUAUUGCAAGAAUUUGAUCUUAAAAUUAGGAAUAAAAGGGGAAUAGAGAACUUAGUGGCAAACCACCUCAGCUAGUUGCCAUCUAAUGGGGACUCUUCACCAUUGGAUGACGAGUUUCUAGAUGAACAUUUGUUUAUGAUACAACAAGUAGCACCAUGGUAUGCAGAUAUCAUCAAUUACCUUGUUACCCAGGAGUUACCAGCCGAUUUCCUAAGAGUCAGGAAAAAAAAGAUAAAAAAGGAAGUCAGGCAUUACGUAUGGGAUGACUUGUACUUGUGGAAAUAUUAUGCUGACCAGAUAAUCAGAAGGUGUUUUUUAGAAACUGAACUAGCCUCUGUCCUCAUAUUCUGCCACUCACAUGCAUCCGGGGGCACUUCGGUCCUAAGUGGAUAACACGGAAGGUAUUGGAGUGUGGCCUGUUCUGGCCAUCCUUAUUCUGUAAUGCAUAUACCUUCUGCAAAACAUAUGAAAACUGCUAGUGUACAGGCAACAUCAGCUGUAAAGAUCAGAUGCCACUUGUGCCCAUACUAGUGUGUGAAAUCUUUGACAUAUGGGGUAUCGAUUUUAUGGGACAGUUCUUGUCUUCCUUCGAAAACACAUACAUCUUGGUAAUAAUGGAUUAUGUCUCUAAAUGGGUCGUAGCAAAAGCAACAAGAGCUGAUGAUGCUAAAAAAAUUGUUACGUUCUUAAAGGCACAAGUCUUUGUGAGGUUUGGAGUUCCAAGAGCAGUAAUAAGUGAUCAGGGAAUGCACUUUUACAAUCCAGUGGUGGGCGCUCUCUUAAAAAAAUACCAUAUCAUUCACCACAUAUCCACUUCCUACCAUCUGCAACACAAGAGGUUUCCAAUCGAGAGGUCAAAUCCAUUUUAGAAGAAACUAUCAACCCGAAUAGAAAGGAUUUGAGUGCAAAGCUAGAUGACGCUCUAUGGGCAUACUGAACAACAUUUAAACACCAACUGAAAUGUCCCCAUACUGACUAGUCUUCAAAAAGGUAUGCCACCUACAUGUUGAGCUAGAGUAUAGGGCAUAUUGGGCUAUCAAAAGCUGCAACAUGAAGUUGGAAGAGGCCAUCGAGCAUAGGAAGUUGCAAUUGUAAGAGCUAGAAGAAAUACGAAAUGAGGCCUAUGAGAAUUCAAUAAUCUAGAAAGACAAGGCCAAGGUAUUCCAUGAUCAAGUGCUUUCAACGAAGCAAUUCUUGAUAGGGCAAAAGGUCCUCUUUGACUCAUGACUUAAGUUGUUCCCUGGGAAGCUAAGGUCGAGAUGGAUCAGGCUGUUUGUUUUCACUAACAUCUACCCGUAUAACACAUUUGAAAUCAGGAGCCUUGACACUAAUAAAAUCUUGAAGGUAAAUGGACACCGACUUAAACCUUUAUAUGAGGGGUUCUAUGCGCACAACAUUGAAGAGCUAACCCUGGACUUACCUGAGGCACACACCUGACAAUAGUAGGAUAUAGUCCGACCUUGGACAUAAAGAAGGAUGCUCAAUGGGAGGUAACCCAUUUUUUUUCUCUUUCUUCUCUUUUGAAUUUGUUAAGUAUUACUUAUUUAAAUCUUUUUUAUCAUAAUUUUUCCUAAAUUUAACGUGAAUUAUGUGAUGAUUAGGGUGCAAAAACAAGGAAUUCAGAUGUCGAAAACCAAGAUAAGGCUAGGUCCUAGAGGCGUCUGACAAGCUUUGCCCAAGGCUUGUUUCUGGCCCAUCAGAACCUUGCCUGACUUAUGCACAAGCCUUGCCCAAUACUUGUGCAAAGAGCCUUGUAACAGAGCUAUGUGUCAAUCCCCACAUAAGUCUUGGGCAAAGCUUACACCACCUGGAACCCCUUUAUUUAAAAAGAAACCCUUUAACCCAUUUCCAAUUCCUCUAUAACCACACCUCAAUUUUCAAACCGAACCCCCUCCUUUGCUUACAUCAAAACCAAAUGAAGCAGAAGAGAUCAGCGUGAAAGACGAGUGGCCUUCGGCCCUUCGCUCACCUCUGCACUAUUAGGCUAGCAACCCAGGCUCCUACGCUAGCUUCUACCCCUCAGGCCCCAACCAGAGAGCAGUCUCCACUAGACACCACUAACCCCUCAAGUUCUAAAUCGAAGAUUCACAGCUCAGUCAUCGACAUCCUCGACUCCCAUUCGACUCUGAUCAACCAAGCCUUUUCAUCACCAAUCCCCCACUACCACAGCUGCUGAAGAAGAAGAACUCUUUGCACGGCCACCAAAGAGGGCCUGAGUUCGACAGGGUCAAUCUCUUCACCAUCCCACAGAGUCCAAACUCUAAGGGCACCUCACAUUUGAGGACGAAGAGGAGGAGGCAUGUUAUAAUGUGGUCCAUAAAUUGACCAUAAUCCUAGUUAAGUCUGUUCACGACCCUACCUUGAGGACCUUUGCCAUCUACAAUGGUGUGCACAGGCUUUUCCAUACAUCGGCCUAUAUAGAACUCGUUGGGGAGUUUUACUGAACCUUUAAAUUCCAAAAAUCUUCACAUUUCACCCUCAAUACUCCCAACCUUACUUCCUAUAGACUGAGAGGGCAACACUUCAACAUCUCAAUUACCCAGUUUAACACGACCCUAGGAUUUGAUGACCCUAAAUACACGUAUCCAUAUUGUGAUUUUUGUUAUUAUUUUGACCUUGUAACCAUCUAUGAUGAACUGUGAACCAACCACCCAGACCCCUAUGACUCCAGUGAAUCAAAGGACCUUUACUUGCGUGAUCCAUGCAUGAAGUACAUCCACAGGUUCCUCGCAUACUCUUUUUCAGGAUGUAAGGAUGCACCAAGUGUCGUGUCUAAAAUCGAGCUCUAUUUCCUUUAAUGCAUGAUGCAGAGACAGUGAGUAAAUUUGGGAUACUAGUUUCCCUCAUAAUUUACUAGCAUCGUGUCAUUCGAUAGGCCAUUGAUCUUAGGCUCGAUCUUCACCCGACUUACACUUUUCUCCACCAAGUUUGACAUUGAUGACACCGACCUCCAUAUUGCUUGCUCGCAAGCCCCCUUGGACAUAUGCACCUUAGAUGAUGUGGGUCUCUUGGAAUUGAAAGACAGCAACCCCUGCUUCACACCACUAGGACCACUCAUACCCGAUAACAAACACACCAAGAACCAGCCCCACCACCCCCAAACUUUUAAGAGUUCAUGGACUGCACCAUGAUGCAUAUUAGGGUCAUCGAGACUAAACUACACUCCAUGGAUUUUGCCAUCCAUCAGUUGAAUGAAAGAAUAGACACCUUGACGCAGUUGUUGAAUCAAAGCUUGCAGUCCACCACCCGCCAGCGCAGAUGAUGACCAUAGGGGAGUUUCUUACCCCUUUUACUUUCAUUUUAUAUUUAUUUCUUGCUUUAAUUGAAUUUUUUUUUUUUUGUUUUCUUUUACUUUAAUUGCAUUAACUUUUAUCUUGCAGCUCAUCAGGAGAAAAACUGCUGAUAGAUAAACUCAUUUCCACCUCUGAAGUAUUUAAACAAGCCUUGCCCAAAGCUUAGGCCACCUUGCUCCCAACCAAAUUCAGAAUCGAUUAAGACACAUACCGCUUCCUCAUACACACCAUAUUCACACAAUGAAACCAGGGGAGUACUCUGUCCCUUCUUUUUUUCCUUUCUUUUCCAUUCUCUACACCAUAUUGGGGAUAAUGUGUGAUUUAAGUAUGGGGGACAAGCGUUCUGCAUCCUGCACUCUGCAUUUUGCAUAUAGGUAGCCAGUUUAUUUUUUGGUGGAUUUAUUUUGGCAUCGUAGGCAAAAUUUUUGCAAAACUCCCUUUUAUCUUUAAACAACUCAGAUGGGGCAACUCAAAACUUGAAUUGUACUUAAAACCAUCCUCUAGGAACUGUAAUUAUUUUCAUCUUCCCACACCUGGAAUUGUUACCCUUAGCUAUAUAUUUCUAACUUGACAUGCUUGAGUACUGAUUGUUCUAAAAUUGAAUUAUUCUCAUCCUUGAGGGGAAAGUAAACAUCUAGAAAAAAAAUUCUACUACAACCUAUAUGGAUUUGCAUGUUUAGAAUUAAUUUGGGUUCCAAAAAACACAAAAAUAAAAUAAAAAAUAAAAAAAUAAAAAAGAACAAGAAAAAAAAGAGCAUAUAUAAUAAUCUACUCACUUGAAAUAAGCACUAACUGAGUAACCAGGGCCAUUCAUCAUAAUUGUUUGUACUGGCAUCAAAAGGUUAAUGACAUCUCAAAGCACUAUGAGUAGCAUUAGUUAUCACUUGAAAUUGUGACCAACUGAGUAAUUGGGGCCAUUCAUCACAAUUGUUUGUGCUCGCAUCAAAAGAUUGGUGAUAUUUCAAGCAAGCAAUAAGUGCUCAAGUUACAUAUAAGGUUUUUAUUUUUCGCAUGAAUUGAUUGCAUGAAACCUCUGUCUAGACCAAUUCGGUCUCGUUCUACUAUGUGUUGGUUAUUCCUCUUGAUUUUUUUUGGGAAAAAAUUUAAAAUACUCUCUCAUAUCAUGUUUGAAUACUGUUAAAAUGAUUGACUGCGAGUGUAGGUCGUAGAAACUCAAAUUCAAAAAUUACUAGCCGAUGGUUGCUUUAGUAACUUGAGGGAUGAGAUGUAACAAACGGGUUAUAAUAAAAUGAUUGGGAAUAAGUGAUUUAAAAGUGUGGGAAUAGGCGUUUGUGGAGUAUAUAAUGUCAUGUUUGAGGGCAAGUACAUGAUAAAUAUGGGGGAGUUUGAUAAGACCUGAAAAAUACAUCAUUAUUAUCUACUUUAGGGUUAUUGAACUUGAUGGUAUAUCAUUUAAUCUAAGCUAUUUUCUGUGUUUUGUUGCAGUGUGGGAUAGAAGGGCAAAAAUGGAGAAAAACAACAUGAAGAGAGGAAGAAUUCGUGAAGUGGAUCAUGAGCACAGAAGCAAGCCUUGGGCAAGGCUUGGGUCCCAUCCCAGGCAACUUAGCCUCAGGCAAGGCCAAGAACCGCGCAUAACAGUCAAUUCAAAAACAAAAGGCACACGCUUGAAAUUUAAAACAGAUCCCCUUCAGGCUUAGAUUUGUGAACAAAAAAUCAUGGAGAUCAAUCUGGAAAGCUAAAGAUGUGCCAAAAAUCAAGGGAAGAUUGCAUAUUGGACUAGAAAGAAGAAAACCCUAACUUUUCUUCUAUAAAAGAAGGGGUGACUGUCAAAACAAGAGCAUCUUUCUUCCCGACAUCGCACGCAUUAGUUUUCGCUGCUUCUGCAACUUUUCUUCCUCACCCUUCUUCUUCUCUUUACUCUCCAAGAACUCUUUUCUAUUGAAAAAGCCCACCAUGAGUGGCUAACUCACUCUCUUUUUCUAGUUAAUAAAUCUAGUCAAAUUCCUCAAAUCCAUAAUUGUUUGAGUGGUUCUAACACUAAGUAGUGAUCAGUACUGCACUAAGGAGGUAAAUAAUAUAGUUGAGCAGUUCACGCAAAUGAAUCCAGUAGCUUGAAUAAGGUCCUUCUAGCUCUCAAAGCUGUUGAUAAAUUAAAUUCUGUGGACAUCCCCAAGAUUACUUGACAGCGAAGAACCAACUAAUGAAUGUUUCUUGGGUUGUUUAGGAAUAAUGAAGGAUUGAUUUUCGGAACAUUGUCGACAACUAUAACUGAUUUUUUAUAUUUUGGGUAAAAUAAAUCUUUGCAUUUAUGAUCAAUUACAACACUGGAGUUAGCUAUUUCGUUAAGUAAGAAUCAUUUUUAUAAUUACUUUAGUCUAUUUAUAGUCAAGAGUUUGUCCAAUAUUAUUCUGCUCAUUAUUUAUUUUAUAUUUUGCAUAUUGAAUUCUACAAAAUCCUCCAUUAUUUGCUUUUUAUUCAUUGGUCAAGGAAGAAAACUAGUUUCCAAUUCCCUGUGGAUUCGACCGUUUUUACCACUAUUACAAUAUUGUUUUAUUGGUUAACUAAAAAUUUAUUUUUGGUGGAUUCGACACCCAUCAUAAAUCAUGCGAAUAGAGUAAUGUUUCUCUUUUCUUGAUCUCAUUUAAGAGUAGAAGGUUUCUCUUGCAGCCUUCACGUUCACCAUAGAGGUCGAGCACUGGUGGCAUCUCAAGAAGGAUACCUUGCCCAUUCUAACUACUUGGGACU